GAAGAGAAAAAGAGACAGAAAGAGAAAGAGAGACAGAGAGAGAGAGAGUUCCUUCUCUUCCUUCCCUUCCCCCCUUGGACCAGGAUGAACCCAUCAGAACCACAGUGUGUCUCAGGACGUCCUGGUCUCUGUAGACGGUGCAGACGUAGCGUCCACCGUCUCCGUCUCUGGGGUUCCUCAGGGUCAGGCUGACGUCUCCGGUCCUCAGGAAAUCUUUCUUCAUCUCUGUUCGGUCGCGGAAGGUGGGAUGAUGUUGUGCAGGGCAGGACGACAGAACCUGACCCUUCAGUGACCUUGACCUCCUGCUGAUCAACUGAGAGGAAAUAAAGAAGAAAAUGAGCAGAAACAGUUUGGAUCAUUUUC